rnacentral:lncRNA from 1 species
UGGAUAAUCUUCCAUGCGAGUAUGUUAUCUACGUUAUGACGGUAAUAGAUAAUAUAUCUCAUGCGCGUUUCGGUCGAAGUCUUUUUCUUCCCCAGUUGAGUAAGAUUCGUAUCCUCUUGUGGGAUCGAAUGUCCAUCCUGUAAGUCGAGUUUGCUUUUUCAACCCUCCUUUCGGAUGAUGAGUGUCUUGGAUAUGCUCCGAAUU